UUUUUUUUUUUUUUUUUUUAAGCUUUUAUCUAUUUAUUCAUGAGAGAUGCACAGAGAGAGAGGCAGAGACCUAGGCAGAGGGCGAAGCUGGCUCCCUGUGGGGAGCCUGAUCCAGGACUCGAUCCCAAGAUCCUGGGAUCAUGACCUAAGCCAAAGGCAGACACUCAACCACUGAGCCACCCAGGUGUCCAGGUCAUCCCAUUCUAAUUAUGGCUACACCCCACUGGGUAGAUCACUCCAACAAGCCACCCCACUGAAGAGCAGCUUCAGGGAUCUCUUCUACCUCUGAAUUCUGUGAGAGAACCCUCCAUUGCUGGCUCAGCCUCGGAGCCCAGAAAUUCCUAUAGGCUGAUGAUCCCCACAAAGCCAAAGGAGCCAAAGUCUUUUCUGGUCUUGAAAGACAUUGAGGCAGGGAGAAGAUUAAAGAAGCUGUUUGCCUUCGUCUUGUUUGUCCUAUCCUCUCAUGGUCGCUAAACAGUUUAGAGCAAUACUGUUUGUUCUCAGGGAAAGAAACAACCUCAAAGAGAGUUUCAAAACUCACUGUCAAGGUCAACUAACCAGGGUCAAACAAAACACCCCAGUAGUUCACAGACCCACAAGCAGAGAAACACUGGGUCUGUGUCACCGUCCUAGAACUCACCCUGGUCCUCGCUCUCAGCAUCGUGAUGUCUUUGUGUCAUCUUCUGGUUUUCUGCUCCCCUUGACAUUCAUUUUACUUUGAUCUUCCUUAUAGAACAAUAUUAGAGGGGGGUGAGCAGGAUUUGUUCUGGGCCCCUACACUAUCCUGGAGACAGCCCCAGAGAUGCAUGGGAUUCAGAGCUGGUCUGUCAGGGAUCAGUCCCAGAGCUGUGUCAUCUGUGGUUUUCUCCCAUGGAGUUCAGGCCAUUUGGCUUCUUUGAUGCAGGGGUGUUUUGCACAGAGCAUUCAGUAGGAUGGAGACAGUGGAGUUUCCAUGCGGGCUCUGAGGAAAAUGCCAAAUGACUAAUAUAAAAGCAUCGUCUGAGACUUGACCAGAGUGCAUUAAAAGUUAUAUCCUAGGGAAAUCAUGUUUGUUCUUUUAAAUAUGGCAACUCUUCAGCCAGAAGCAGCAAAUGAAGUGCCUGUUCCUUCACAUGAUGGGAAGGGCUGCUCGGUUCACACUGUGAGGCAAAUGUAAGUAGAAUAUUGCUGAUUCAGGCUAACUUGCUGCCUCAUUAGGGUUACUUGGUAUUUCAUUUGAAACCUGAAUUUCUCACAAAAGCAUAACAGAGGGGGACAUACAAUUGCCUGAAGUUAAGGCGAGGCAUCAGGGCCACAAGACUCUACCACACACCGCUUCCGCUCCUCUCCCACACUCUGCCCUGGUUUGGCUACAUUUCCCUUUCCCUCCAUGGUCCUAUGGAAGACUUAUUCCUACAGACAUAUUCUGGAGCCUGAGCCAUGGAUGUUCAUACUUCCAAGCUGGCAGUGUUGAAAUAAAACCUACAUCUAAGAGAGCUCUGUACCGGCAGACAUCUUAGUUCCCUUCUGUUUAAUCAUCAGCCCUGGAGUCAUAAGGGAAUUCUACGCAGGAAGGUGGGGGCGCUGGGUGGUUAGGAAAGGUCUGGAAUCUGGAAUUCUGACUGACAGACCAAAGCAGUCUGGAUAAUGCAGAAAGUUCUGCAGGUGGAUGAAAAUGAGCAGCAAAGAUUUACUCUUGGGACGUGGCCAUUGGUCAUUUCCGGCCCUACAGAGCAACACCCUGCUAUUUCUCCCCACGGGAUAAGAGGCAUUACGCGGAGCCACGUUUGAGAACUCAAUGUGUAGUUUGUCAGUCGUGUUUUGGAACACACCAGAGUGUCUCGACGGUCUUGAGGUGGUCGUAUCUGAGAAAGUCAGACCUAGACCAUGGAAGGGGCGAUUUACUGUCACACUUAAGAUAUAAGAUAAUGCUAUCUUAGGGGCUUGCGUGCCCUCCAGCUACAACAGGGUGACCUAAGGCCAAAGAAGUGAGAAAUCCAUUUCUAAGCAUCACUCUGCUCCUGCUUCUUCAAGGAUAUGGGCCCGAUGGUCCACUUCUUGCAAUAAUUGAUUCGCUCACUGUGUGGAGGAGCUGUGGUCUCUUCCCUUGGGGCUAAAGCCACACCAAAUGGCAGGGAGAUGCCCCUUCUCCUCUAUUGUUACUGACUCUGUUUCUUUGCCCUGUCCUCUCACGUGGAACUGGUGGCAGCCUCUGCUCCCUGCUUCUACCUAUAGCGGUGGGCAGUCAAACCUACGUGUGAGAGAGAUGACUAGUUCCCAGGCUCAGGCAAAACAGACCAGGUCAGUGGCUCACAACUUUAGCCACAUCGGAAUCCCCUGGAGGACUCAUCAGCCCACAGGUUAUUGGGCCCUGCCCCAGAGUUUCUAAUUGAGUGGGGGGUGGGGGGAGGCCUGAGAAUGGGCAUUUCUAACAAGAUCCCCAGCAGUGCUGCCUCUGCUGGUCUGGGGACAGUCCUUUGCAAUUGUGGGGGCAGGUUAUGCUGUAGUAACAAGUGACCCCUGGAUCUGAGGGAUAUUUUCCACUCAUGUCUCAUGUCUGACACAGGUCAGCUGCAGCUCUGCUCUGUGUCAUCUCCCCCCAGGACCCAGGGAGAUAGAAUAAGCUCUGGCUGGAGUAUUGCCCGUCCCAUGGCAGAGGGCAGAGGACUUGGUAACAGCUCUUAAAGCUUUGGCUUAUAUUUCAGUGGCUGAAUUAAGUCACAUGGCCGACUUUGAUAUCAGUGGCAAGUGAAGGGCAAUUUCUGUAAAUAAUUACACAUCCCCCGGUGUCAGUUAUCUCCUUCUUCCAUAGUCAAUGAGCUCAUGGUUUGACUGCACAAAUGGCUGAGUAAAGAGUAGAUUGUCCUGCAGCUUGGGUAUUGGUCCAUACCAGUUAGAGCCAACGGGAUGUAAGCAGACUGGUAGAGUCAUUCCAGAAACCUUCCUAAGAGGAUAGAACAUGUGUGUCUUUUCUGUGUUUCAUACUUUCACCAUCCUCUUGCCUACAAUACAUGUGCUAGCAUUUUCCAGCAGGAGGUCAAUAGAAAAAAUAGAAGGUAUAUGGAACCCCAUACCAGCCCCAGACCACCUACCCACACUGCUAGAUGAGAGACAAAUCAAAUCCUAUCUUGUUGAAAUCACUGUUAUCUUGGCUUUUCUGACAUUCACAUCUGAAUAUAAUCACAUCUAAGGCACCCUCAGAAAGGCUCUCUUUCCAAAUCUGCUUGUUUCCCAUCUGUAGCUCAGCUCUUUUCUGAGCUUCUGAGUUUAUUUCUUUCCUCCACACCCGCGUGGUGAGAAUGUCUACAAGAGAUCAACUCUAGCUUCAUUCCUUCUAGGAACAUAGACUAAGACUAGAGAUGCAGAGAGUCUGAUGGGGGGAAGAGACAAUGAAAAGGAAGAACUUGUCUGUCUAGAUCUUUCCUAAAGAACUUCCCCAGUUGGCUUUAUCACAAAGCAACACAGUUGACAAUGUUCCCUUUAUUGCCAACCCUCCCCCUCAAUUUAGGAAGUUUCUAGGUUGACAUGGUUUGCAUGCCAUGUGUCACCUCAUCUGACCACUAGAAGCAAUGGAGCCUACAUGUUUAAAGAUCGUGGUUGGCAGCCAGGUGGUCCUGUUUCUCUACCUUCAUUUUUAACUAUCCAUCUCGGUCUCUGCACUCUGAUAGUCUGUUUUUGUCUUCUGUAGUCCACAUAUCCCCACAAACAGGGGCCGCUGGACAAGAGGAAAGAAGUGUUCACAAAAGUCAAAAGGGGGAAAGAGGCAUCAAGUGGGAGCUCACCAGCCUCGAAGCUGAAAACCAAGUCAUGCACACAAGGCCUCACUGGGACAUAGUAAAGAGCUUACAAAAGUAAUCUAGAAUGUUCUAUCAAUGCACAGAAAAGUUACCACUUUAGUUACACAAACAUAUGU
rnacentral:lncRNA from 1 species